rnacentral:tRNA from 1 species
GGGGUGUAGCUCAGUGGUAGGGCACUUGCCUAGCAUUCAUGAAUGCUGGGUUCAACCCUCAGACCACA